rnacentral:rRNA from 1 species
AUUGAACGCUAGCGGGAUGCUUUACACAUGCAAGUCGAACGGCAGCGCGGACUUCGGUCUGGCGGCGAGUGGCGAACGGGUGAGUAAUGUAUCGGAACGUGCCCAGUAGCGGGGGAUAACUACGCGAAAGCGUAGCUAAUACCGCAUACGCCCUACGGGGGAAAGCAGGGGAUCGUAAGACCUUGCACUAUUGGAGCGGCCGAUAUCGGAUUAGCUAGUUGGUGAGGUAACGGCUCACCAAGGCGACGAGCCGUAGCUGGUUUGAGAGGACGACCAGCCACACUGGGACUGAGACACGGCCCAGACUCCUACGGGAGGCAGCAGUGGGGAAUUUUGGACAAUGGGGGCAACCCUGAUCCAGCCAUCCCGCGUGUGCGAUGAAGGCCUUCGGGUUGUAAAGCACUUUUGGCAGGAAAGAAACGUCGCGGGCUAAUACCCCGUGGAACUGACGGUACCUGCAGAAUAAGCACCGGCUAACUACGUG